UACGUAGGGUGCAAGCGUUAAUCGGAAUUACUGGGCGUAAAGCGUGCGCAGGCGGUUGUGUAAGUCAGAUGUGAAAUCCCCGGGCUCAACCUGGGAAUUGCAUUUGAGACUGCACGGCUAGAGUGUGUCAGAGGGGGGUAGAAUUCCACGUGUAGCAGUGAAAUGCGUAGAUAUGCGGAGGAACACCGAUGGCGAAGGCAAUCCCCUGGGCCUGCACUGACGCUCAUGCACGAAAGCGUGGGGAGCAAACAGG
rnacentral:rRNA from 1 species